UUUUCAGGAUAUUUAAUACUUGAUGUUUAUUUAAUUUUCAUACAACGUUUCGCCACUUUCGCAGCUUCCUCAGCUGUUAUAAUUUUUGUAGAUUAAUUU